AACGACAUCGAAAGCUUGCUUUUGAUGGGCGUCGACCGGCGCACGGGUGAGUAACGCGUAUCCAACCUGCCCACCACUUGGGGAUAACCUUGCGAAAGUAAGACUAAUACCCAAUGACGUCUCUAGAAGACAUCUGAAAGGGAUUAAAGAUUUAUCGGUGAUGGAUGGGGAUGCGUCUGAUUAGCUUGUUGGCGGGGUAACGGCCCACCAAGGCGACGAUCAGUAGGGGUUCUGAGAGGAAGGUCCCCCACAUUGGAACUGAGACACGGUCCAAACUCCUACGGGAGGCAGCAGUGAGGAAUAUUGGUCAAUGGGCGAGAGCCUGAACCAGCCAAGUAGCGUGCAGGAUGACGGCCCUAUGGGUUGUAAACUGCUUUUAUA
rnacentral:rRNA from 1 species